rnacentral:rRNA from 1 species
CUGGCGGGGGCCUCCAAUGCGCUCGAGCGGUCGCGUAAGUGAGCUGCUCCUUUGCCGGCGAGCGGCGCCCGCUGGAGUAUCUCAUGGCGUGUGCCUGGUGGAGGGGGACUUUACUGGAAACGGUAGCUAAUACCGCAUGACCUCGAAAGAGCAGAGAGCGGGAUCUUCGGACCUCACGCCAUCGGAUGUGCAAGAUGGGAUUAGCUAGUAGGUGAGGUAAUGGCUCACCUAGGCGACGAUCCCUAGCUGGUCUGAGAGGAUGACCAGCCACACUGGAACUGAGACAUGAUCAAAACUCAGCGGGCGGCGGGGGUGGGUGGUAUUGGGGCGUGGGCCUGAUCCUGAUGCGCCCAUGCCGCGAGUGUGAACAUCGCCUUGUGGAUGUAUUUAACUUUCAGCGAAGAGGAAGGACCCACACUUAAUACGUGUGGACAUUAUUUUUUACUCGCAGAACAAGCACCGGCUGUGCCCGUGCCCGCAGCUAAUACUAAUACGUGAGGGCGUUACGUUAAAUUACAGUUACGGGGCGUCGCGCGCACGCAUGCGUUUUGUUAAAUCAGAUGUCACCUCCCUCAGCUUAGCAUGUGAACUGCAUUUGAACCUGGUAAACUAGAGUCUAGUAGAGGGGGGUAUCAUGCGAAGCGUAGCGAUGAAAUGAGUAAAGAUCUAGACAAUACCCGAGGGCGACCACCUCCCCCUGAUCUAGACUGACGCUGCGGUAGCGAAAGCGAGCAGAGCAGACUGGAUUACAUGCCCUGCUAGUCCGCGCAGUAUGUGAUGUCGACGUGGAGGUUGUUGGCCUUCAUACUUGCCUUCUGGAGCUAU